UUUACUGUGUCGCAAGCUUGGAGUUCACACGCAUUCUCGGGGGUCUUGUUAAAGUGCCAUGUCUGGGGCUAGAAGAGAUGACUCAGCAGCAAAGAGUACUUGCGGUUCUUGGUUGGACGCGCUGGCUUAUGCCUGUAAUCCCAGCACCCAGGAGGCAGAGGCUAGUCUGGUCUGUAGAGCGAGUGCUCUUUUGGAGACAGAGAAACCCUGUCUCAAAAAACUAAAAAUAAAUAGUAGGUGAAGUACUCCCUGCUCUUGCAAAUCAUCUGAGAUUUGGUUCCCAGCACUACAUGGCAGCUCACAACCACCUAUAAGUUCAGUUCCAGGGGACCUGACACCCUCUUCUGGCCUCUGUGGAAACCUUCACUCAAAAGACAUAUAUUUACUCUCUCUCUCUCUCUCUCUCUCUUUAUUCUCUCUCUCUCUCUCUCUCUCUCACACACACACACACACACACACACACACACACACACACACACACACAAAUCCAGAGAAAAAUAAGUCUUCAAAAAAUGCCAUAUCUGAUGGCACCGAAGACUUAGUGUUCUAACAAACUCCUAAAUCCUGGGAUACCUGGAGCUAUGUGGCUAUUUCCAGUGGGAGGUCAGAAGACCACCGAAACCAUGUGCCAUCUUCAAGAGAUGUGAAGAGAAGUGAUAAAAUAAUACAUUGGAAAAGUGACCUUUUUUUUUUUUUUGAGCCAGGUUGUUGCUUGCAUGCAGCCUAGGUUGGCCUGGGUCCACUGCUCCCUCUUCCCUGAUGGGAUCGCAGGUGUGCCUGUCAUCCCAGCAGGUUCUUAUUAUCUGAACAAGGGGUUUCUUCUUGAGACACUGAGUGCUUUUUCCCUCCAUUGUGUUUGGUUUCGGUUUUGUGAUGGAUGGCAUUGAUUUGGUUAGAGGGGAUAUUACUAUUAUUUUUGGUAGCUGAAUCUUUGUCUUCUGCUGUGUAGGAAAACAGGACCCUUAUCUGCUCUCCCACUGAACGGUGAGGCCUACCACACGGUCUUAGACAUGGCGAGUGUUGAACACAUACUUAGGUCUUAUUUGCUUGUUACACGGGGCUCUGCGCCGUAGCAGGGAGUCUGUGGUGAGGAUUUGAAGUCUCAGCACUGUUAGUCUAGUAAGGAUUUACUCAGUGCUAAGAACCCACGGUGUGCUGGGCAGAAUUCUAGACAGACUACACACAGCAGUACAGUGUUUCUGGCUUUAAGGGGCUUACAUUCUGCUCCAGAAAGAUAAAGAGGGGAGAAAGACUCUUGGCUCUCCAUUCUGGUGAGUGUCAGUCUAAGUGGGCGUGCUGGGCUCAAGCACUGAAAUCCCCCAGAUUCUGAGGUUGACAAAAAUCAGUUGGAAGACAGAUAGACAGACAGACAACAAAACUAAACUGCAGAACCUUCAUCCUAGCGCGGGGAGAGUACUACAGUGCUUGAAGGAUGUUAUGUGCACUUUGUCCUUUGGAGGCCUGUCCUUACAGUGUGUCCUGUACCUGUCGGGCUGGCAGAGCACGUGGUCUGCAGACUUUCUCUGUCUUCACUUUGUUGCUAGCAUCUCAUCGUGUGCCAGGUCUGUAUUCACGGACACUUCCCUAGAGACCGUCCCUGAUGGCCUGUCUAAAUUGGUCCUCAGCAGUUGUUCAUGCAUGCAUGCACACAUGGAUGCACACAUGCACAUAUGGAUGCAUGCAUGCAAGUGCUGCUUCAUCUCUCUGUCGCAUUUGUGGUAACAUUUGCUUGCUUGCUUGCUUUCUCUUUCUUUCCUUUUCUUUUUGUUUCAUUUCUUGCCUGUCUGUGAGGAUAGGAACUUCGUCUUUAUUGCCUUUCAGUACUUGGAACAGUGCCGGGCUCACAGUGGGCAAGCAAAUAUUUGUUAACUAAAUGUCACUUUUCUUUAGAAAUUGUUAAAAAUCUGUACACUGUGGCAGAAGGGCCAUUUGGUGAGAGAUUGGGGAAAUAGACUCGGAGAGGUUUGGGGACUCGCUUUCAGCCCCAGGGCUGGGAAGCAGGAAUUCAUACUUGCUGAGAGCUAACCUAGCUCACCUUCCAGGAGGAAGCCUCUGCCCCUCUUACUGAAGUUGGGGAUACCGAGUGGCCUGGAAUCAUGUGACUCUCUCCAGUGGAGUGGGGGGUGGGAGACCACAGAAACGUUGCCCUCACCUCUCAGGAACAUAUUAAAUAUGGAGGUGUUGGGCCCACCUCAGCACCUACUUUCCCACACUUUGUUUUUCCAGUUCCUACAGACGUCACACUACAAGCGCACAGGCCCAGGGGAUAGUUGUUACUUUUUAAUUCCAUGCUCAGAGGCCCCAGUGGCAAAAAGGAAAGGCAGAAGUGUAGAGUACUCUUUUAAAAACUGUUACCUAGUUAGAGAAAUCCCUGGCUGCAUGGAUCCCCGUGGACUAAUGUGAAGAUCUUGUAAAUACAGCAGGAUAGAACAGCAGGGGACUGGCAGGGCAAUGAAGGAGGCCUUUAUCUGAGCUUAGGGGAAUGUUGAAGGGAGAAGGACUGGCUGGCCUCAGUCUGUCUGCACCCAGACUUCUGGAAUUGGGGGCACAAGUGAAUCUGGAGAAAGGGUAGAAACUAGCUGCUUCCUGACAGGCCAGAAGCUAGGACUGUCUGCUUCCUGGAUUCAGAACUCGAAGCCACAGUGGAUUCUUUGUGAAAUGUGGUCUUUGUCUUUUUUCCACUGCUGUAACAAAAUAUUUGAGCACAGGAAAUGAAGGAAACAAACAAACAAAAAAGGGCAGCCAGGCAUGGUGGUGUACACUUUUAAUCUCAGCACUAGAGUGGCAAAGGCAGGUGGAUCUCUGAGUCUGAGGCCAGCCUGGUCUACAAAACAAGUCCAGGAUAGCCAGGGCUACACAGAGAAACCCUGUCUUACAAAACCAAAACCAACCAACCAAACAAACAAACAAAAUGGACUGGAAAGAUGGCUCAGCAGUUAAGAGCACUGACUGCUCCUUCAGAGGUCCUGAAUUCAAUUCCUAGCAACCACAUGGUGGCUCACAAGAUCUGACGCCCACUUCUGGUGCGUCUGAAGACAGCUACAGUGUACUUAUAAAUAAAUAAAAUAAAUACAUCUUAAACAAAGAAACAACAACAAAAGGAAAUUGUAUUUAGCUUAGGUACAAGAGUGUGAACGCACAUGGGGUGUUCCUGUAGUCCUAGCUACUUGAGAAGCUAAGACAGGAGGAUCAGCUGAGCUCAAGAGUUCAAGGUUACCUUGUAUAAUUCAGCAAGACCCUAUCUCAAAACCAAACAAACAUCAAGUAAAGCUAAGAGCACGGUGGGUAUCAGCAUCUGCUUGGCAUCUAGGAAAGGCCUCUUGUUCCAUGAUAAAACCGCAGAGGCCAUUGCAUGCUGAGACGGCCAGUGAACUGCCACCAACGGCUACAUCAUAGGCGUCCUGCUCUAACAUCCUCAUCUAAUGGUAAUUAGCUCCCAAAGGCACCUUCAGAUGCCCAUGACACAUGACUUUGGAGAUUAAGUUUCUAACACAUAGAUUGUUGGGAGACACACUCAAAUUAUUACAGAUGUUUUUACCCAAAAUUUCCCAGAUAACCCCACAAUCUGAGGGGAAAAAAUUUUCACUUAAUAUUUGCAAAGUUGUGUUGUGACUUCUUGCUUUUACUGUCCACUUAGCAUGCCUCUUCUGCAUCUCCUUAAAACAGUUCUGGGCAGGCCACACCCCUCCUGAGAAACCUGCACCAGUGUUCAGCUGCUGGGCCUGUCUGUCACUCAAGGUCUCUGCCAGCCUGGACUGUGUAAGGGUGUAGAACUUGAGUGGCUGAUGGGAGGGGGAAGUGAGACCGACUGAGGAAGUAACUAAGAGCCAGACACCUGCUCAGCUUUGAGAGGAGCACUGUCAUCCCUGUGGAGCAUCCAUGGAAUGGGCCAUCUCAGGUUUCCAGAGGUAUCGCCUCAUGUCUUCAGAACAGCGGCUCUCACCUUCCUCACGCUGCAACCCCUUAACACAGUUCCCCAUGUUGCGGUGACCCCCAACCAUAGCAUUAUUUUUGUUGCCACUUCAUAGCUGUAAUUUUGCUACUGUUAUGAGUCAUAAUAUAAAUAUCUGUGUUUCCCAGUGGUCUUUGGGGUCCCCUGUGAAAGGGUUGGGUUGUUCAAGCCUCAAAGGGGUCACGACCCAUAGGCUUCCUGUGCUCUGCUGGUUGGGAAGCACUGGGCUUUCCCACAGUAACAGACUAGCCCUGAGCUCUUAGCUUCUUCAGUCAACUAACUUCCUUCCUUCCUUCCUUCCUUCCUUCCUUCCUUCUUCUCUUCCUCUCUCUCUCUCUCUCUUCCUUCCUUCCUUCCUUUCUCUCUUCCUCUGUCUCUUUCUUCCUUUCUUUCUUCCUUCCUUCCUGUCUGUCUGUCUGUCUGUCUGUCUCACUGUGUAGACCAGGCUGGCUUUCAGCUCACAGAGGUCCUUCUCUCUCUGCCUCCUGAGUGCUGCGAUUAAAGGUGUGUGCCACCACUCCAGGAUUUUUACUUUUUGACUCCUUAUUUACAUUAUUACUGGAAGAAUUUCUGUUCAGAAAUUUCUAGAUCAGUCUCAUUAUGCAUGGAAGGAGGUUCUGAAAGCUGUGUUUAUAUGGUAAAUUUACAUCCGGUUGAGGAAACAAUUAUUUACCUGAAAGCUGGGGCGGAGACUGAUGGAGACUCACCUCUACCUGUUCAGUUAGUUAUAACUAGUGUGGUAAGCUUGUAUUUUGUGCUCAGUUUUAGAUGGGUUUUGCUGUAGUCGUUGAAUUGUGACCUAGGGCAUCCUUUCUUAACAGGCUGCUAUCCUAACGUUGAGAAAGCCACCUGAGACAGGUGACAUGGGGGUCUGUAGUAUAUCACAUGGUCCACACAGUGGGUGACCUGCAUCAAACACCUUUAUAGUAAGCUAGGUUGAAGCUGUAAUUUGGGUAGUUGUAAUUAGGAUGUCUUUUAACGUCACUCCUAGGAAUGGGCUAUCAGCAAUAGAUCCCAGGGGACUCUCAUGAACAGAUAUGGAAGGCUACAUAAAUUAGGGCUAAGUUCAUACUCUGGAACAUCUGCCAGUUGUCUUUUGUAGAAGUGAAGAAGGGCUUGAUGGAUAAUGCAUCAUGGGAAGUGCACUCCUGCCAUGUAGUGCUCCCUGAAAGAGCAGUGCACAUUCACUCUGGAGGACCAGUGUGAGAAAGUGGGACACAGAGACAAGGAAAGCAUGGGUGUAGAAGUAGGUCAGAGCCCUUAGGAAUGAUCAUAAGAUAUCCCCUGAGUUGCAGCACUUGGUCCUGAUUCAGAUGAACACAGGCUCUUGGAGAUGUUUGCAUAUUUCUUAUAAGCAAUUUAUGGGCAUGUGGUAGCUCUGGUGAUUUUAAAUUGAAGUCAUAGGUAAUAAAGGAAAGGGAAGUGAGAAGCAGCUCGUGCAGUCUUGUAAAUGAGCACUGGAUAGAUCAACUGGAACUGAGCUGGUGUGACAGGGAGCUGUUAAGUGGGAGGGGGAGACUCGAUCUGAACUAGGAAGCAAAACUGUAGUCUGUGAGUGUCAGGGCUGGGUAGAAGAAGUGUAAAUGUGUGAUCCCAGCUACAGGAGGGUGGGAGGCAAGAGGUUGCAAAUUGGAGGCUUGCCUGGGCAGUUUAGUGAAACCUGUC
rnacentral:lncRNA from 1 species